rnacentral:lncRNA from 1 species
GAAGGCCUGAGGAGAGAAGACACAUAGUCAUGCUGACUAAACCAGAUCACCUAGAAUUACCAAAUGGAAAGAUUGUGCCUGCAGCCUGGCCUGUUGCCCACAGCGGUCUACCUGCCACACUGGGAAAGAUCGAGCAGAGACAGAGAAGAAAAGGAGGCUCCAUUUUUCAGGCUGCUCUCCCGCAGGCUCAUGUUUUGUGUUCAUGCCAGGCAGAGAACACAAAAUGUUCCAAUAAAUAAGUAUCAGAGGUUAGUGGUGAAAAUGAAGGAGGAGGAGGCAUUGCGUGAAAAACUAAACAUGCAAAAUAUUACACACAAAGAAAACCAAAAUGCAGGUUCACUGGAAAUGAUAGACAAUAUGUUAAAACAAGAGGAGAGAAGAGAGCUGAAAUAAUCAAAUGGAAACACACAAUUUAGGGCUAAGAUCUUGUUGUGUUCAGCCACAAAUGAUGGCCAGCAGUGAGGAAUCUGUGUGUUCUCCACACUCUUCGCUCCUGGGAAGUCAACUCACAUGGACCAUGAUAUCAAUAUCUGCUCCUUCCCCUAAUAUCUGUUUGACCUUGGGUCAGUUACUUAAACUUCCUAAGCCUUAGUUUCUUUGUCUGGAAAAUAGGGAUAGUUAUACCUACCACACAACCACUUUGUAAUAAAUAUGUUGGAAAUUAUAUGCAAAUUGGCUUCCGUUGGUGUUUGGAACAUAGUAGGUUUUUAACUGGAAUAUAAUAGCUACCAUUAUCAGUAUCAUCAUAUUAAUUUAUAUUUCCAUCUUCAGCCCUUAACCCAGGAUCUUCAGUAAAUGUUGAAUUCUCAAAUUUGUUAAAUUCACUUGUCUAUUCUAAUAUUUUACUCUAGGUUUCUUAGAAUAUUCUAGAUAAUAUUAUUAUGUAGAAUAUGUUAUGUAAGCUUCAUCUUAUCUGUAAAUAUAGUUUUACUUUUUCCUUUCUAAUUUUUAUGUCAAUUACUUCUUUUUCUUGGCUUACUGAAUUGGCUAGGAUUCCCGUACAGUGUUGAAUACGUGCAGCAAGACUGCACAUCUUGCCUUGUUCCUGGUCCCACAGAGAAAAUAUCCAGUACUUCACAAUAAGUACGCGUUAAUUGUAGAUUUUAUUAGAUUGAGGAAGUUCCCUUUCAAGUCAGUCUUUUUAUUUUAAACAUGUAUUGAAGUUUUGUCAAAUGUCUUCAUCUAUUGGAAUAAUUAUACAUAUCUCUUUUUUAUUCUGUUAAUAUUACAUUUCAAUCUUCUAUCUACCUAGAAUCCCUAGAAUAAUCUCCAUUUGGCUAUGAUGUGUUGUGCUUUUAUAUAUUACUGAAUUCUAUAUGCCAAUAUUAUUAAAAUUAUCUGUCUUUAUGAGAAAUA